UACGUAGGGGGCGAGCGUUGUUCGGAUUUACUGGGCGUAAAGCGCACGUAGGCGGAUCGAUCAGUCAGGGGUGAAAUCCCAGGGCUCAACCCUGGAACUGCCUUUGAUACUGUCGAUCUGGAGUAUGGAAGAGGUGAGUGGAAUUCCGAGUGUAGAGGUGAAAUUCGUAGAUAUUCGGAGGAACACCAGUGGCGAAGGCGGCUCACUGGUCCAUUACUGACGCUGAGGUGCGAAAGCGUGGGGAGCAAACAGG
rnacentral:rRNA from 1 species